rnacentral:rRNA from 1 species
UGGGGAAUAUUGGGCAAUGGGCGAAAGCCUGACCCAGCAACGCCGCGUGAAGGAAGAAGGUCUUCGGAUUGUAAACUUCUUUUAUCAGGGACGAAGGAAGUGACGGUACCUGAUGAAUAAGCCACGGCUAACUACGUGCCAGCAGCCGCGGUAAUACGUAGGUGGCAAGCGUUAUCCGGAUUUACUGGGUGUAAAGGGCGCGUAGGCGGGGAUACAAGUCAGAUGUGAAAUCUAUGGGCUUAACCCAUAAACUGCAUUUGAAACUGUAUCUCUUGAGUGUCGGAGAGGUAGACGGAAUUCCUAGUGUAGCGG